rnacentral:rRNA from 1 species
ACGUACUGGGCGAACGUUAUUCGGAAUCACUGGGCUUAAAGGGUGCGUAGGCGGCCAGGCAAGUCAGGUGUGAAAUCUUCCGGCUCAACCGGAAAACUGCGCUUGAAACUGCUUGGCUUGAGUGAGAUAGGGGUGUGCGGAACUUCCGGUGGAGCGGUGAAAUGUGUUGAGAUCGGAAGGAACACCGGUGGCGAAAGCGGCACACUGGGUCUUCACUGACGCUGAGGCACGAAAGCUAGGGGAGCGAACAGG